GAUGAACGCUGGCGGCGUGCCUAACACAUGCAAGUCGAACGAACACACAAGGAGCUUUUUCUUCUACCGUUAGCGGCGGGCGGGCGAGUGAGACGUGCAUCAUCCACCUCUUUUACUUGGAUAAUAACGGGGAACUGCGGCCACUACUGGCGCAUAUAAUGUACCGGAUGGAUCAAGAGUGAUAGUCGCUUUUUGCGUCUCCUUUAGAUGGUUCCGCGUCGCAUUAGCUUGUUGGCAAGGUAACGGCUUACCAACGCCACGAUGCUUAUCUGGCCUGAGGGGGUGAUCAGCCACACUGGAACUGAGACACGGUCCAGACUCCUACGGGAGGCAGCAGUAGGGAAUCUUCCGCAAUGGGCGAAAGCCUGACGGAGCAAUACCGCGUGAGUGAUGAAGGUCUUCGGAUCGUAAAACUCUGUUAUUAGGGAAGAACAAAUGUUUAAGAAACUAGGGACGUCUUGACGGUACCUAAUCAGAAAGCCCCGGCUAACUACGUG
rnacentral:rRNA from 1 species